rnacentral:rRNA from 1 species
AUUGAACGCUGGCGGCAGGCCUAACACAUGCAAGUCGAACGAGUGGCGGACGGGUGAGUAAUGUCUGGGAAACUGCCUGAUGGAGGGGGAUAACUACUGGAAACGGUAGCUAAUACCGCAUACCAUCAGAUGUGCCCCGAUGGGCUUAGAUAGUUGGUGGGGUAACGGCUCACCAAGGCUAAGAUCCCUAGCUGGUCUGAGAGGAUGACCAGCCACACUGGAACUGAAACACGGUCCAGACUCCUACGGGAGGCAGCAGGGGGGAAAAUUGCACAAUGGGCGAAAGCCUGAUGCAGCCAUGCCGCGUGUGUGAAGAAGGCCUUCGGGUUGUAAAGUACUUUCAGCGGGGAGGCGUUACCCGCAGAAGAAGCACCGGCUAACUCCGUGCCAGCAGCCGCGGUAAUAC